UACGUAGGUGGCAAGCGUUGUCCGGAUUUACUGGGCGUAAAGAGCUCGUAGGCGGUUUGUCGCGUCUGCCGUGAAAGUCCGGGGCUCAACUCCGGAUCUGCGGUGGGUACGGGCAGACUAGAGUGAUGUAGGGGAGACUGGAAUUCCUGGUGUAGCGGUGAAAUGCGCAGAUAUCAGGAGGAACACCAAUAGCGAAGGCAGCUCGCUGGGACGGUACUGACGCUAAGGCGCGAAAGCGUGGGGAGCGAACAGG
rnacentral:rRNA from 1 species